rnacentral:rRNA from 1 species
UACGAAGGGGGCUAGCGUUGUUCGGAAUCACUGGGCGUAAAGCGCACGUAGGCGGCUUUCUAAGUCAGGGGUGAAAUCCUGGAGCUCAACUCCAGAACUGCCUUUGAUACUGGAGAGCUUGAGUCCGGAAGAGGUGAGUGGAACUCCGAGUGUAGAGGUGAAAUUCGUAGAUAUUACGGAAGAACACCAGUGGCGAAGGCGGCUCACUGGUCCGGUACUGACGCUGAGGUGCGAAAGCGUGGG